UCUCCUUCCAAGAUAGCAAAAGGCAUGUUGACUCCUGAUUGAGUGAGGUGAUUGUAACCGUUCUUCUCUAUAAAGGGGGAGGCAUCCUAAAGAAGUCUGGACAUGUCCAUCAACAGACCUUCUUCAAAAAGAAGAUAUGCUGGAAGUGGAUCUGGGGAACAUUGCAGAGUAGUUGAGAAAGGUAAGGAUAAGGACAGGCAUGCUGAAGAUGCCUGAACAUGCCUGAAGGAAGUGACGUGCUGGCAACCUCUCCUUCCAAGAUAGCGACAG